rnacentral:rRNA from 1 species
AUGAAGAAGUGUGGCAAAAGAUCAAAUUUUCGGUCAAAAUACACCCCCCAACUAAGGUUCAAAACUCAACCCUGGUCUCGGUUUCGAGUUGGUCCAGCGGUUUUGACCACAAUCAAAGCUGACUGGGCAUUGCCAAGUAAGCAUAGGGCAGGGAGGAAUAAAAAAGAUGAAUCAAUCUCAUUUGUCUCCGCUCCACCUCGACCCCCUUCUCCUCCCGCUACAGAGUCGCCACCGCCGCCGCCGCCGCCGUACCCGCCGCACCUGACUCCAGCUGCCGACGGUGACCGGCGCCGCUGCAUCUCCGCCGCCCCGCCCCACCCGCAAGCCAGCUUGAACUCCGAUGCAUCUCCGCCGCCCCGCCCCACGCGCAAGCCAGACCGGAGCUCGGAGGGCAGCUGCCGACGUGGCUGCGAGGUGCUGUCGAGGCAGCGGCCCUGGAUGUGCAGCACUAAGCGGCUGCGGUUGGCGGUUGUGGACUACGCGGCGGCCGACGGCACACGGGGUGGCUGUGCGGUGGUGGCCAUGAGCUCGGCCGGCAGGAGGCACGGGCUACCACGGCCGGGCGAGGCGAUGCAGGGCAGCGUCGGGGGUGUGGUGUCAGGCAGCAGUGAGGUGGCGUAG